rnacentral:rRNA from 1 species
GUGUCAGCCGCCGCGGUAAUACGGGGGGUGCAAGCGUUGUUCGGAUUUAUUGGGCGUAAAGCGCGUGUAGGCGGUUUGGUAAGUCUGAUGUGAAAGCCCCGGGCUCAACCUGGGAAGUGCAUUGGAUACUGUCAGACUUGAAUACGGGAGAGGGUAGUGGAAUUCCUAGUGUAGGAGUGAAAUCCGUAGAUAUUAGGAGGAACACCGGUGGCGAAGGCGGCUACCUGGACCGAUAUUGACGCUGAGACGCGAAAGCGUGGGGAGCAAACAGGAUUAGAUACCCUUGUAGUCC